UAAGGAUGAUCAAGAAUUGGAACUCUUUAUAAAUAAAGACACUUCCUUUUUGAUCUCAUUAGACAUAUCGGUUUAAAGCAAUUUGAACCUUAUGCAUGUGACACUCACUCUUCAUGAACCCCUCUCUCAAAGGAGAACCUCUUUAUCAAAAGAGGCCCCUAGCUCCAUGAGAAAAGUUCCGUAAGGGUGAGUUGCUCAUGUGUUCAGUUAUACAAGCAGGCUAGCCGUCUUCGUUUCUCUUUCUUCAGAUGAUGAUCCCAAGCCUUCUGGCGAUCUCUUAGCACUAAAGCUUUCCUCAUUUUUUAAAAAGAGCACUUUAGAAAAAAAGAGCACUUUAGAAAAAAAGAGUGUAAAAGCUUCUUUCUCAAGAGUAUGCCGGGGAAGGUUUUCCGGUUUAGCCCGGAGGGCUUG
rnacentral:misc_RNA from 1 species